UACGUAGGGUGCAAGCGUUGUCCGGAUUUAUUGGGCGUAAAGAGCCCGCAGGCGGCUUGGUAAGUUUCAAGUGAAAUCUCCCGGCUUAACUGGGAGGGUGCUUGGAAAACUAUCAGGCUUGAGGCAGGGAGAGGGAUGUGGAAUUCCCGGUGUAGUGGUGAAAUGCGUAGAUAUCGGGAGGAACACCAGUGGCGAAGGCGACUCGCUGGACAGGUAUUGACGCUGAGGUGCGAAAGGCGUGGGGAGCAAACAGG
rnacentral:rRNA from 1 species